rnacentral:lncRNA from 1 species
GUCAAAUCUUUCCUGGACAAUAAACACUCACAACAGCUCUUGUAGACUGUGGAAUUCUCGGUGAUGGCGCAAAUUUGUGACCCAAGGCUCAUCGGAUGGACUGCAAAUCCAAAGACAGGUGCAAACAGCCCAUGUGAUCUGACGUAUAUAUACUUCUUCAGGUGCCCUCAGAUUCAUGAGAAUCUAAGACAACUGACUUUCUGUAUGCAGUAAGGAGCUUAAGUUGUGAACUGGCAAGCUGUUCCCCGCGUAUUGCUCCCAUUAGAUCAAGAAGGCGACUCACGUGCGCAAGGGCAGCUCUGCAAGA